rnacentral:rRNA from 1 species
CCGACAGGAUGGGGACAACAUUCCGAAAGGAAUGCUAAUACCGAAUGAAGUGCAGGGGAGGCAUCUCCCCUGCAUGAAAGAUGGCCUCUUUUUAUGCUAUCACCUGUCGAUGGGUCUGCGUCUGAUUAGCUGGUAGGUGAGGUAACGGCUCACCUAGGCGACGAUCAGUAGCCGGUCUGAGAGGAUGAACGGCCACAUUGGGACUGAGACACGGCCCAG